AAUCCAAAUAAUUGUAUUGAAGUGUGUUAAGAUUGUUAAUGGAAUUUGUAUCGGGGUAAAAACAUAUGUAUUUUUAAAUAAAGUGAAUAAUUUGCACUGAUAACGACAUUGUAACUAUUUGAGGCGAAGCAUCCUGAUCAGCGCCAAAUUUGCAAUCAAGUUAACCCUUUGGAAGUGCCAAGAUAAGAGUUUAAACGUUUGUAUCGAACUCGUGGAAUGGAUGCAUUGGCAGCUCGUCACGCUGUCUCUUCAACUGAAUGGUAUCUGAGAAGAUUCUGAAUUGUGGCAAUGAUGUCACGAUUGAUUGUAAUCUUAUAAAGUUAAUACGUCCUUCAUGUUACGUACAAUGUCAGUAGUUGGAAUUUAUUGAUUGGGCGACUUAACAGAUGUACACAUUUUUAGUUUCACGUUUAAAAAGUUGAAUUUUGAAUAACGUGCUUAAUUUAUUAAAUCAGAUAUGUUGAUAUGGAAAAAUGUAUGUUAAAAAGAACCUAAAUAAUGCACAAUUUAAGCAGAGUGUGAACUUGUUAAUCACAAUAAAUAUCAGCAGCUGUACUGUAAGCUGUAUUUUAAAAAAACCUGUUGUAAAACCUUGCAGAACAAUGCUAAAGCACCAAAAGAACAAAUUCUAAAUUAAUUAUCAAAAAAUCACCCAUCUCUUACCGCGUUAUUUACGUGUCAAAAUAUACAGAUUUGGCCAAUU